GAAGAAAGUGGAGUGGUGUUAGAAGUCAACAACUGCCAGCAACUGCCAACAACUGUCACACAUACUUGACCCAGCAAAACCAUGAUUCAAAUAUGAAGGAGUCAUCAUAACAGGACCCAGAAAUACAAAAACUAAUAGAGUUUUCUAUUAUCAGACCAGCCUUUCAAAAACAACUAAAAAGAGUACCACUACGGAAGGAACAGGACCAUUUAACUUUCAACAGAAUGAUCCACAGAUCCAGAAAUACAAGCCAUAGAAAUAGGAGACAACUUUAUAAAGUAUGAAAGGGAAGGAAGAAAUGAACAGACAAUGCUCAAGUGAAGCAUGGUUUUUCCACUCCAUCAUCUUCAUGGGAAUUUCAUGACCCCAGGUGCUAAGGUGGCCUGGCAUUGACCAAAAUAUCCAUCACUAGAUUUCUGACAACAAUUCUAUGUAUUCCACUGAAGUGCCGCAGAAAGGGGAUUCUACCUGGAAGUGCAGCUCUUCUCAGCAUAUCCAGAGCAACUGUCCCUGCAUUUCCUGACACACAGUUCACUCAGCAGUGAUGGGACCACAGGAACUAAAAAGCCCAGAGAUUGUAUGUCACACACUGCUCUAUAAUGAACAAAGCUGCAAGGAGGUGGGAGCAGCUGA